UUAUGAUGAUACUAAAGGAUAAAAGGAGUCGGGGCGGGAUAGGAAGAUGAAACGCAGUUAAGAUGAUAGCAAAGAGCAAUUGAACAAUUGAAGUCGUCUGGAAGGUAGAAGAUGUCGGUCAGCAAAAUAAAUGGAUAUAAAGAUGGAUAUAUAGAUAAAGUUCAGAAAGUAAUGCAAAAUGAACAAAAAUUCCACGAGCAAAAUGUAAGAAUUCGUUAUGUAAUGGAUUAAUAAAUCAAUUCAGAACAUGAAUAUGUAAAGCUUCUCUAUGAAAGCAGGUUUUAAAAAGAAAUUUCAAAUUAUUCUCCUUCGAGAAGAUUCGAUAUCAAUAUUGCAACCAUUAAACUUAAACAUCAAUGUUCAUCUCCGUGCAUUGAUGAAAAGGAGAGAAACGUACUUUUCCUUCUCGAAGAACAGAACAUCAAUAAAAGAUUGCGAGUUGCUAGAAGUGGUAAGAAGUCAGUUCUAUUCAGCUGGAUAAUAGGAUCAACAUCUUAUCCAUUUGAUCACAAUUAUUCAUCUUUUCAGUGAGUCCUGUAACAGUGUUUGUUUGCUGCUCACUACUGAAGAAAUGGUGCUCAUGUUGAAAUUCUAGGGAAGAUUACACGGAAGUGGUUCCCUCCUAGCUUGAUGAUUACUUGGUCCUUAAACACGAAGUUUGUGUUAUUGUUUAUAUAUAAAUUCUUAGUCUAAGACAUGACAAUAGGAAAAAAAAUGUUUCAUGAACAUGGACAUAAAGAGCACAUUUUGGCAUCAAAAUCAAAUGAUAGUAUUUGACUAACAGAAACUGAUGUGUCGUGUUCAGAUUUCAAACAAAUACGUGCGGUUCUUCAGCAACACAAUGUUUUGAUGGUUUACCACAGCCCUCUGGAGUAAAGGUGAAGGAACACGAAAUUUCUACGGCAACAUUUGAUUUGCAUGUAGUAUAUUUGAGCUACAUGAGAAGUGAAUUGCCAGGACAAGAUGGAAACCUUCUGCUCAGAAUCCUGCUAAGCGAAAAAUGAAAAAAAAUGUUUAGUAAAGAUGGCGACUAAUUGGCAGAAUCGUUGGACCGCUGGACGAAAUGCUCUGCAGUAUUUUUCUGGCUCUGAAUUCAAACUCUGCCGAAUUCAAUUUUGGUAGAAUUGCCUGAAUGUUGAACAAAAUGCUUAGUAGCAUUUGUUCGGAUUCUUUAGAUUCUGAGUUUCCAGACCGGUGUGACAAACAGGUGUGCAUCUAGCCAAGAUGGUGUCUUGCUAAAAAUAUCCAAUGGAAGGCAACAGAAUAUCACUUUUGUCAACGCGUCACACGGUUAUAUUUUCUUGCUUCUAUGCAUCAUGUAUGCUACGCAUUCCCAAUUGUUUUCAUCCACCGGAAUAAAUUUGGACUAAUAAAUGGCAAGCUUUAUGUUAUUCAGAACGUGUGAAACAUGAGCUAACUAAAAGACAGAAACAAUCAUGGACAUUUAGAACGAAUAAAAUGCUUUGGACAAACAAAGAGUUAAGUAUAUAAGAGGUCGGUUUCUUUAACAUUAAAUAAUCAAGAAAAUUUCUCUUGGACAAUAUACUACAAUUUUGUUGUUAACUUUCCUCAAAUGGCCAGAUGAACUGAGACAUUAAUCCUUUCCUCUAUAGACACAGUGAACAGAUGUAAAACAGAUAUCUGCUCAUCAGUUUUGAAAGUGUAGCUUAACAAGCAACUAACUUAGAUAUUUUAUAUUGAGUAUACACCAUUAAAUUUUCUAAUUAUUGAUGAUAAAAAAAAGAAGCAAUUUUCAACUAACAAAAUAUGUAAUCGACAGGAAAAAAAAUUCAAUUUUCGUUUUUAACUAUAAAGAUUUAUAUCUCAUUUCAGAUAUGUUAUUGAGACACGCUGCUUUCGUUUCAGGGUAAACAUGCAGGGCCGUAAUCUAUAAAGUGUGAUAUAUUAAUUAAUUAUGGUGUAAAUAUGAUGUAUUAAUUAAAUUAUGUUGUAAGUGAAAUAUAUUAAUGAGGAUAAAGUUGGUUUCAAUUUCCAUUUUUUUAAUAUCUUAAUUUUUUUCUUUCUUUUUUGAAAAGUUCUAAUACAGAUAUGUGUAUAUG